rnacentral:lncRNA from 1 species
AACGGAUAACCCAUCUGUUGGAACCGAUGGGGAAUCUGUUUUAAAAUCUAUUUAAUAUCUCCAAACAAAUAUUCCACCUGUUGCAACAGAUGGACCACCAAGACCACUACCAAUGCCACCAAUACCACCAAGACCAACAACAAUGCCACCAAUACCACCAUCAAGAACACCAAGACUAGCACCACGACCACAAAUACCACCACCAAGACCACCAAGACCAGCACCAAAGACAACCAAUACCACCACCAAGACUUCCAAUGCCACCAAUACCUACAUCAAGACGACCAAGACAGCUAAUACCACUACCAAUGC